GAUGAACGCUGGCGGCGUGCUUAACACAUGCAAGUCGAACGAACGACUAUUAACAGAACCUUUCGGGGCGAAGAAUAUAGAAGUUAGUGGCGGACGGGUGCGUAACGCGUGGGUAAUCUGCCUUUGUCAAAGGAAUAACUAUUCGAAAGAAUAGCUAAAACCGUAUAACAUAUUAAUAGGGCAUCCUAGUAAUAUCAAAACGAUAGUGGACAAAGAUGAGCCCGCGUCUGAUUAGCUAGUUGGUGAGAUAAAAGCCCACCAAGGCAACGAUCAGUAGCCGACCUGAGAGGGUGAACGGCCACAUUGGAACUGAGACACGGUCCAAACUCCUACGGGAGGCAGCAGUGGGGAAUAUUGCACAAUGGGGGGAACCCUGAUGCAGCAACGCCGCGUGAGUGAAGAAGGCCUUAGGGUUGUAAAGUUCUUUCGGUAUUGAGGAAGGUUGAUGUGUUAAUAGCACAUCAAAUUGACGUUAAAUACAGAAGAAGCACCGGCUAACUCCGUGCCAGCAGCCGCGGUAAUACGGAGGGUGCGAGCGUUAAUCGGAAUUAUUGGGCAUAAAGGGCAUCUAGGCGGCCUUUCAAGUCAGGGGUGAAAACCUGCGGCUCAACCGCAGGCUUGCCUUUGAAACUGAUAGGCUGGAGUACCGGAGAGGUGGACGGAACUGCACGAGUAGAGGUGAAAUUCGUAGAUAUGUGCAGGAAUGCCGAUGAUGAAGAUAGUUCACUGGACGGUAACUGACGCUGAAGUGCGAAAGCCGGGGGAGCAAACAGG
rnacentral:rRNA from 1 species